rnacentral:rRNA from 1 species
CGACCUCAGAUCAGACG